rnacentral:lncRNA from 1 species
UGUAGAUGGAGAAUAUGUAGUGACGAGAAUACAUGAACCAUUUUAAUAUAAUUUUUUUAUGAUAGGUCAUAUAAUGCUUGCAACAAACUAGAUGUCAGGUAUUAGCACAUUGACUUAUUUUGCACCAAUUUUUGUUAUCACCCUUUAUUGGUGAUAGCAUGCUUUUUUGGGUCUUCCUAGAAUGUUUGGUUAGAUGGCUUGUUCCUGAGAUGAUUUAGACUACUUCUAUAUAUUCUUUGACCUUUUUCCCUCCUACUGGAAAAGGUGGUAAGUCAAAUUUUUUAUAGGAUUUUGCUUGCUCGUCGCUGAUACAAGUUACCACAGAUGUUCCAUUGAUUCUAAGUAGUUCGUGCACAUCUGUUGUUGCAUCUGUUGAUACAUCAGCAACCAGAACUUUGUUUUUACUUGUUGGUCUUUGAUGAUCAUAUGGCUGCAAAAUUUCAAGCUAAUACAUGAUGAAAUCUUAAAAACAGACUGAUACAAGAAAACAUAAAAGCCUUGAUCAACACAUAAUUUUGCAGGCAUGCUUCAUUAAAUAUGUUUAUAUGUGUGCUCCUGAAUAAAGUGGAGAGUCUCAAAUGAAUUGCUGUUAAUACAGAAAGAAAAUAACAUCAGGACUGGAAAAGAGCACAAUGAUCUUUUUUUUUCAGUACAUG